CAGCCCGGAAGCGGAAGCGGAAGCCGGAAGCAGCGAGAUCGAGUUGGUUUUCCGGCCUCACCCGCUGCUGGUGGAGAAGGGGGAGUACUGCCAGACACGGUGAGCGGCCUUCGGCCUCGGCCUCCUCAUCCUUGUCCUCCUCAUCUUCCUCUCCAUCCUGCUCCUCUUCCUUUUCCUUCUCCUCCUCAUCUUCCUCUCCUUCCUGCUCCUCUUCCUUUUCCUUCUCCUCCUCAUCUUCCUCUCCUUCCUGCUCCUCUUCCUCUUCCUUCUCCUCCUCCUCCUCAUCUUCCUCUCCAUCCUGCUCCUCUUCCUCAUCUUCAUCUUCCUUUUCCUUCUCCUCCUCCUCCUCAUCUUCCUCUCCGUCCUCCUCUUCUUCAUCUUCGUCAUCCUCUUCCUCUCCAUCCUGCUCUUCUUCCUCGUCCUCAUCGUCCUCCUCCUCUUCCUCUCCAUCCUCAUCAUCCUCAUCUUCCUCAUCCUCAUCCUUCUCUUCCUCAUCCUUUUCCUCCUCAUCUUCUUCUCCGUCCUCCUCUUCCUCUCCGUUCUCUUCUUCUUCCCCAUCCUCAUCUUCUUCCUCUCCGUACUCCUCUUCCUCAUCCUCAUCCUUCUCCUCCUUUUCCUUGUCCUCCUCAUCUUCCUCUCCAUCCUGCUCUUCCUCAUCUUCCUCUUCUUCCUCAUCCUUAUCAUCCUCAUCUUCCUCUUCCUCAUCCUCGUCCUCCUCAUCCUCGUCCUCAUCUUCCUUUCCAGCCUCCUCUUCCUCAUCCUCAUCAUCUUCAUCUUCCUCUCCAGCCUCCUCUUCUUCGUCUUCCUCAUCCUCCUCAUCAUCAUCCUUGUCCUCCUCUUCCUCAUCCUCCUCAUCCUCUCCAUCCUCAUCAUCCUCGUCUUCCUCAUGCUCAUCCUCGUCCUCAUCCUCUCUACCCUCCUUAUCUUCAUCCUCGUCCUCAUCUUCAUCACUCUCUUCUUCAUCCUCAUCCUCCUAUUCCUCUUCUUCCUCAUCUUUGACCUUUUCUUCUUCAUCUUCAUCCUCGUCUUCCUCAUCUUUCUCCUCUACUUCAUCCUCAUCCUCAUCCUCUUCCUCCUCUUCCUCUCCAUCCUCAUCUUCAUCUUCAUCCUCGUCAUCCUCAUCCUCCUCAGCCUCAUCCUUGUCC
rnacentral:lncRNA from 1 species